UCGUGCAAUUUGCAUUUAAGUCAAAAAUAUUUUUAAAUAAAAUAGUUUUGUUUUUGUUAAUAAUUGAGAUUUCUGUUUGAACUCUCUUCAUUCUGUGAAUUAUAACUAGUUAAAUUAGAUUUAGCGCCGCCAUAGGAACAAUUUUUUUUCAUUAUUGUCGCUAUGAUUUGUGAAAAACACUAGAUUUUAAUCAUAAUAAUAACUUUGGUAUAUUUUUUUUGUUUGUUCUGCGUUAAAUUCAAAAGAGUGUUAACAAGACUUGCGACAACAAACCGGCAGGAAUUAUAGCAAAUUGGAUGAAAAUCCUAGUCUGUGAUAGAAGUCGACUUCACGUAACAGCACGUCGGAAAAGUCCUCGAAAAAAUAUUGUCAGAAAUACUUGCAAAUGAAAAAAAUGUUCAAUAUAACAGUGUCAGAGCCUAAUGAAAUUAGUGGCCCAGGUGUAAUCCAUUUUAAGGUUCCAAAUUUUACAAAAAAAAAAAAAUCUUUAUACGUAUAUUAAUAAGAACGAAACACGGGCAGAGCCGGUAAUAGAUAAGUCGGACGAUUGUUACUAUGACAGUCGGUAAACGAGCUAUUGGGAUUCACAAAUUUGUGGAAAACAUAUAAAAUCGAAUUACACUGAAGAACGAAGCUAGUAGGAUAUUGAAUGACUCAGAAUUGUUCUCAUAGACAAGCCGUGGAAAAUACAAAUAAGUAUUUUGACAAUAAUUGCCAAUUGUUAUUAAAAGUUGAAAGAAGCCUUAAAAAUUAAAUAGAAAAACACUACGGGGACGAUUGUUACUAUGAAACAUAGAUAAAACUUAAAAGAAGAUGAGCCAUCCGACACACAAUUAUACAAUAACUUUCCAUGAAAACACAUACAAUGUUGAGACAACGAGCAACGGGAUCGAUAUUGAGAAAACAAAAGAAAUGGCUGUUACAAGUUGCUGAGCUGUAUUUUUUAUAAUCGACAGUAGUUAGAAAAUAUUAUUUAUUAAAUUUCAGAACAGUACCGCGGCUUUAGGAAUUAUUUUUUAUUUAUAAGCAAUAAAAAAAAACACAUAUUAUAAACUACUCACCAAUGUUCUUCAAAUAUUGAGCACUGAUUUUAAAUACCUCAUUUUCAUGCUAUGUAAAAUUUUAAAACCAAAUGUAUAAUACGUGAGAUAGAUUUUUUACGUGUAGUCUUAGUACUUGCUGUCUGAAAAUUAAUUUGUUCAU